rnacentral:rRNA from 1 species
AGUCGAACGGUAACAGGAAGCAGCUUGCUGCUUUGCUGACGAGUGGCGGACGGGUGAGUAAUGUCUGGGAAACUGCCUGAUGGAGGGGGAUAACUACUGGAAACGGUGGCUAAUACCGCAUAACGUCGCAAGACCAAAGAGGGGGACCUUCGGGCCUCUUGCCAUCAGAUGUGCCCAGAUGGGAUUAGCUAGUUGGUGAGGUAACGGCUCACCAAGGCGACGAUCCCUAGCUGGUCUGAGAGGAUGACCAGCCACACUGGAACUGAGACACGGUCCAGACUCCUACGGGAGGCAGCAGUGGGGAAUAUUGCACAAUGGGCGCAAGCCUGAUGCAGCCAUGCCGCGUGUAUGAAGAAGGCCUUCGGGUUGUAAAGUACUUUCAGCGGGGAGGAAGGUGUUGUGGUUAAUAACCGCAGCAAUUGACGUUACCCGCAGAAGAAGCACCGGCUAACUCCGUGCCAGCAGCCGCGGUAAUACGGAGGGUGCAAGCGUUAAUCGGAAUUACUGGGCGUAAAGCGCACGCAGGCGGUCUGUCAAGUCGGAUGUGAAAUCCCCGGGCUCAACCUGGGAACUGCAUUCGAAACUGGCAGGCUUGAGUCUUGUAGAGGGGGGUAGAAUUCCAGGUGUAGCGGUGAAAUGCGUAGAGAUCUGGAGGAAUACCGGUGGCGAAGGCGGCCCCCUGGACAAAGACUGACGCUCAGGUGCGAAAGCGUGGGGAGCAAACAGGAUUAGAUACCCUGGUAGUCCACGCCGUAAACGAUGUCUACUUGGAGGUUGUGCCCUUGAGGCGUGGCUUCCGGAGCUAACGCGUUAAGUAGACCGCCUGGGGAGUACGGCCGCAAGGUUAAAACUCAAAUGAAUUGACGGGGGCCCGCACAAGCGGUGGAGCAUGUGGUUUAAUUCGAUGCAACGCGAAGAACCUUACCUGGUCUUGACAUCCACAGAAGAAUCCAGAGAUGGAUUUGUGCCUUCGGGAACUGUGAGACAGGUGCUGCAUGGCUGUCGUCAGCUCGUGUUGUGAAAUGUUGGGUUAAGUCCCGCAACGAGCGCAACCCUUAUCCUUUGUUGCCAGCGGUCCGGCCGGGAACUCAAAGGAGACUGCCAGUGAUAAACUGGAGGAAGGUGGGGAUGACGUCAAGUCAUCAUGGCCCUUACGACCAGGGCUACACACGUGCUACAAUGGCGCAUACAAAGAGAAGCGACCUCGCGAGAGCAAGCGGACCUCAUAAAGUGCGUCGUAGUCCGGAUUGGAGUCUGCAACUCGACUCCAUGAAGUCGGAAUCGCUAGUAAUCGUGGAUCAGAAUGCCACGGUGAAUACGUUCCCGGGCCUUGUACACACCGCCCGUCACACCAUGGGAGUGGGUUGCAAAAGAAGUAGGUAGCUUAACCUUCGGGAGGGCGCUUACCACUUUGUGAUUCAUGACUGGGGUGAAGUCGUAACAAGGUAACCGUAGGGGAACCUGCGGUUGGAUCACCUCCUUACCUUAAAGAA